GCACGCUCAGUUUGUAUGCGUUGCUGUUGUGUGUUAAAGUAUUAGUUCUUUCAAGGUUUAUAAUGCUAAUUUCCGUACAUCGAUUUACGAGUAAUCCGACUCGUGAGUUUUACGAGUUACAAGCUGUGGCUCGGCAGGUUUUUGUUGUUGUUGUUGUUGUUGUUGUCUUGAUUUGCGAGCAAAGAUUUGAGUUACAAACACAAAAUGCGAACUUGACAACAAGUAGCAGAUGUGAACAAUUCUUCCAAAAAGAGACCAAGCUUGCUUCAAGCUGUUUAUUACCAUUCCCAGUUAUAAAGUUUAAACCCACAUAAAACAAAGAGACUUGUUUAUGGAAGUCCGCUAGCUUCAUGCUAAAAUACAAUUCAAAAUGCUAUAGACAGGCUAACGAAACUAGCAUCGAUGUUGCAGUAACACUUUCAGCAACAGAACACAAACGGUGCUGCGAAACAUCACUAAUAUUAUUGCAGCUUACUAAAUGACUUGGUUGUGAGACUGUUCUCCUUCUAUGAUGUUUGUCUGUUAUAGAAUUGUCCCACGAAGAAACCCAUCCCCCAGUUUGUAUCACAUACCUUUUGUUCUAUUUUCCUUUUAAUAUCCACAUGGUCUUUUUCACAAAAACAAUGAUUUCUACAAUGAAUAAGCAAGCAAGAAAUCUAAUAUCUAAUAUUCUACCUUGGUAUUCUGCUAUGUCUAUGCAUUUGUGAAAUUACUCAUAGCAUGGUGAGAUGAUGCAGGGUUUCAUUUGGAGUUCAAAGUUUUCAAAGAAUUAGACAUAGGGGGCACAAUCAGAGUUUCUUUGUGUUGUUGUGAAUUUAAAGGUGGUGGUGGGGGGUCUACCGAGCUCCUGGAGAGAAUACUAAAUAGAUCCACUUUGAUUAGCAUAAGGGGCAAGUGCUUUUGCCAUUUCCUCUCAUGUCCUGAAGCACUUUGAAGGAUCUGCUCAGCGGUGAGUCUGUCUUUGUUGGUGUGGGGAAUCACCGAAUAUUUGCAGCAUGUAAAAUUGAAGUGAAUAUUGCUAUUGUCGAGACACUUUCACAAGGUAAUGCGUCUUGAUUGUGCAGUAGUCUGCUCUGACAAGAUAAAAGCCAAGCUGGCUGCAUAUAAACAGUGGAAUGCUGGAUGUAUGCCAUGUUUGUAUUGAAAAUCUAAUUUCAUGCUCAAUAUUACAACAAUAUUCAUGGGUAUAUACAGUGGUGUGAAUAAGUGUUUGCUCCCUUCCCGAGUUCUUAUUUUUUUGCAUGUUUGUCACGCUUGUUGUUUCCCAUCAUCAAACACAUUUAAAUAUUCGUCAAAGUCAACACAAGUAAACCCAAAAUGCAGUUUUAAAUUAAGGUUUUUAUUAUUAAGGGAGAAAAAAUAAGACUGCCACACCUGUUCUCAAUCAAAAAAUCACUUGAAAAGGAACUGCCUGACAAAGUGAAGUAGACCAAAAGAUCCUGGAACAGAUGGGAAGAACUGCAUUUAGAUAGUCCAUCUCCCUGUCUAACAGAGAAGUAGUGCUUUGCCCGCAUCUUGUGGCAUCUAUAGACAAUUAAAACUUUUUUUUUGGAGGGGGGGGUCCAAAAAAGAGGAAGUGGUGACCUUUCACAAAGACAGGUGCACUCGCUUAUUUGCAUGAGUUUCUGCGCUUCGCUGCUCCGCCAAUUCUUCAUAAGUCUGCACAACUCUUGUCACACAAACUCCACUUGCAACCCGAGUCAGGAUGUGGUCACCCGCACUGUUGCUCGUCCUGCUGAUCAAAGGAUCUUCUGCCGCUGAUUUUCUGAGGCAGACGGACAGAAUGAAGUCCGUCUCUCUUGGAGGGACGUUGACCAUUGGCGCCACAGGAAGUUCAGACAUUGAUAGCGAUCUCAGUUGGUACCAAUUGAAACCUGGGCAGGCUCCCAAACUGCUCAUCUACUCUGUAUCCAGUCGCGAGUCUGGCACGCCAUCUCGAUUCAGCGGCACACAAUCUGGCUCUGACUACACUCUGACCAUCAGUGGUGUCCAGGCAGAAGACGUGGCUGAUUACUACUGUCUCGGCUAUCACGGCAGUGGAAGGUACACACGGUGAUUCAGAGCCGUACAAAAACCUCUUUCAACUUUGAGCGAAGUGAAAGCGACCUGCAGAAUGUGGCAAGGGGAAAGCAGAAGACACUGAAUGAUGAGCAAUGACUGGUCGUCAAGCUAAUGAAUCACUCAAGCUGACUGAAAACAUUAUAUUUAUAUUAUUCUUUCUAGUUUCAAUAUUUGUAUUUUUUUAUAUGAAUGAGUGGUUAUUAUUUAUUUUUCUCAGGGACAAAAUAUAUUUAUUUAUUUUGUAAUUUUACUUAAAUUAUGUAUUAAUUUUAUUUAACCUACAUAAUAAACUACAUUUAUGUGUCACAA